rnacentral:misc_RNA from 1 species
CAAUACAUGCAUCAGUAGCGUAUAAAUUUGAAAAAAUUUCAAAAGUUCUCUUCAUAAAUCUUUACAAUCGGACUCUUUAACGAUAUAACGAAAUUUGGAAACAGUCAAAAAUUUCACAAUUUUAAACAAAUUUUUACAUUUCAUUCAAAAAACAAAUUAAUUACGCCGAUUUAUGUAUUUUAGUACAGAAAUAUUUAUAAAAUAUUUUUAUUACAAUGCUCGGAAUGGUGGACUGGUCUUUUAAUAAAUAAAAGAUUCUUUCAAAAGAGAACACUUCUUAAGCCUUCCCCUUCUCAAAAAUCUAACAUUAAAAUAUUCUUUACCCAAAAAUUGUCAAACGAAGUAAGAAAUAGAGCAAGUGGUGUAUACUCUA